rnacentral:misc_RNA from 1 species
GGCAAUCAGAGUAGAUGUCCUGUCCCGUCAUUUCUAGAAUGCCCAUCUUCUUUUGUUGCAAUUGCAAGCCAUAAUUUGCAAGUGCAUCAUAUGUCGUUUUCAUAUAUUUCUAUAGUUUUAUGAUCCCCAAGCUGCCUAGCUUGAACCAUUUUUUUUUUUUUAACUCAAAUCUGUUUUUUAAUUGAGAUUUGCUAAUGAUAAAAAUUUUUCUUAAUUUUUAUUAUGAGUGACUUUUAUGCUUAUAAUAAAUGGAAAUGUUUAACAAAAAGAGGCUCUGUAAUGGAGUGAUUGAAAUACAGCUUCCCUUACUGAAGAGUAAAGGGGAAAAUCAUUGAAAGAUUGAAUUUUACACUUCCUGCAUGCGAUAUUUAUAUUUAAGAAUAAAAAAGACAAUAGGGAUUCUGUUAUUUGCUCAUUAAAUCAAAAGGGAGAUGCAAUGGAAUUGUUGAAGUUAUUUAUCUUGUUUAACAUAAUUCCUACUUGUUUGGUGGGUUCAUAUUCUUCCUUAUUCUUCCUUGUUUCCAAAGUUGUCAAAUUUGCAGCCUAGGAUUGGUGGGGGAUCUAUUACUUCAGAUCAUAAAUUUGUAAGAUUUCACUGAUUGAAGUCUCUAAAAAAAUAUUUGUACACAUAAAAAAGUUAUACAUGAGUUAUCUAGUGGAAUGGUAAUAUAAGAUUCGAAAAACCAACAUUUCCACCAUCAUAUCAUUAAUGUGAGAUAACUGAAAUAAAUUGAAUAUUUGAUAUGUUAAUAUUUAUUUAAACUGCAUAUUUCAAUAUCAAUUUAAAUUUGAAAAAGCAGUAAAUAACUCAAUAAGUACGUACGCGAUAUGCAUUUCAUUUCAUCUAUAAUAUGUAGAGAUGUACAUACCAAAGUAUGAAUAUUACCACAGCGUAAGAAUUAUAUAGUACUAUUUACUAGUAAUUAAGUAAUUUACAAUUUAAAACUUAAAACUUGAAAAUGAUGUCCCAGUAAAUAAGCAGCAAUGGCUUCCACACAUGAAAAGGCAAUAUUGUAAAUUACAAACAUUGACAUUGUUAAAUUCAUAUGAUUUUACUGUAAAAAAUUCUUAUAAUCAUUUUGAUUAUUUGAUUUUACUUCUUAUGUUCUGAAUUGUCUACAUAAUUCUAAAUUGUAAAGUCAUACCAGUCGGAUCCUGAUUUUGACUGCAAUGAUUGUUUCAAAUAAUGGAUUUGAAUCAUCUUAUUACUUGUCAAAUUUGUGCUUUUGCAGUCUCAUCAACAACAACCUGAU